ACCUGGGUGGCUCAGUGGUUGAGCGUCUGCCUUUGACUCAGGUCAUGAUCACGGGGUCUCGGGAUCAAGUCCUGCCUUGGGCU
rnacentral:tRNA from 1 species